rnacentral:rRNA from 1 species
GGCGUGCUUAACACAUGCAAAUCGAACGAGAAUCUGUGGAAAGAGGAUUCGUCCAAUUGAAGCAGAGGACAGUGGCGGACGGGUGAGUAACGCGUGAGGAACCUGCCUUUCAGAGGGGGACAACAGUUGGAAACGACUGCUAUACCGCAUGACACAUAGGUGUCGCAUGGCACUUAUGUCAAAGAUUUAUCGCUGAAAGAUGGCCUCGCGUCUGAUUAGCUAGUUGGUGAGGUAACGGCCCACCAAGGCGACGAUCAGUAGCCGGACUGAGAGGUUGAACGGCCACAUUGGGACUGAGAUACGGCCCAGACUCCUACGGGAGGCAGCAGUGGGGAAUAUUGCACAAUGGGCGAAAGCCUGAUGCAGCAACGCCGCGUGAGCGAUGAAGGCCUUCGGGUCGUAAAGCUCUGUCCUCAAGGAAGAUAAUGACGGUACUUGAGGAGGAAGCCCCGGCUAACUACGUGCCAGCAGCCGCGGUAAUACGUAGGGGGCUAGCGUUAUCCGGAAUUACUGGGCGUAAAGGGUGCGUAGGUGGUUUCUUAAGUCAGAGGUGAAAGGCUACGGCUCAACCGUAGUAAGCCUUUGAAACUGGGAAACUUGAGUGCAGGAGAGGAGAGUGGAAUUCCUAGUGUAGCGGUGAAAUGCGUAGAUAUUAGGAGGAACACCAGUUGCGAAGGCGGCUCUCUGGACUGUAACUGACACUGAGGCACGAAAGCGUGGGGAGCAAACAGGAUUAGAUACCCUGGUAGUCCACGCCGUAAACGAUGAGUACUAGCUGUCGGAGGUUACCCCCUUCGGUGGCGCAGCUAACGCAUUAAG